rnacentral:other from 1 species
CAAUCACUGAAGCAUUCGCCAGUAAAGUGCAUUCCUGAGCCGAUAAUCUUAUCUUAGGAUCACGCUUCUAUUAUUUUGUUGUGCAGGCCUGCAUCUCUUGAUGAAUCAGGAAGCCUAAUAAAUAAUGGCGUUGUCCGCCUUGAACUUCACGGUUCAUGGUAACCCCUUUGCAGCGGUGCUUUGGUGUAUUG